UCAGGGGGUUCCUGGAAGCCCCGGAGGUCCAGGGAGGGAAGGACCUCCAGGACCCAGAGGACUGCCAGGCAAAGAUGGCCCCCCAGGCACACAGGGCCCCCCAGGAACCAUCGGAACUCCAGGAGCUCCAGGAUCCCCAGGAAGUACAGGCCCUCCAGGAAAGCAGGGAGAGCUGGGCC